rnacentral:rRNA from 1 species
UACGUAGGGUGCAAGCGUUGUCCGGAAUUAUUGGGCGUAAAGAGCGUGUAGGCGGCCCGAUUAGUCCGCUGUGAAAGUCCAGGGCUCAACCCUGGAAUGCCGGUGGAUACUGUCGGGCUAGAGUCCGGGAGAGGUGAGUGGAACUGCGAGUGUAGAGGUGAAAUUCGUAGAUAUUCGCAAGAACACCAGUGGCGAAGGCGGCUCACUGGCCCGGUACUGACGCUGAGGUGCGAAAGCGUGGGGAGCAAACAGG